rnacentral:rRNA from 1 species
GAUGAACGCUAGCGGCAGGCUUAACACAUGCAAGUCGAGGGGUAGAAGCAGCUUGCUGCUUUGAGACCGGCGCACGGGUGCGUAACGCGUAUGCAAUCUACCUUUUACAGAGGGAUAGCCCAGAGAAAUUUGGAUUAAUACCUCAUAGUAUGUGAGAAUCGCAUGGUUUUCACAUUAAAGUUCCAACGGUAAAGAUGAGCAUGCGUCCCAUUAGCUAGAUGGUAAGGUAACGGCUUACCAUGGCGACGAUGGGUAGGGGUCCUGAGAGGGAGAUCCCCCACACUGGUACUGAGACACGGACCAGACUCCUACGGGAGGCAGCAGUGAGGAAUAUUGGACAAUGGGCGCAAGCCUGAUCCAGCCAUGCCGCGUGCAGGAUGACGGUCCUAUGGAUUGAAACUGCUUUUGACAGGAAGAAACACCUCUACGUGUAGAGACUUGACGGUACUGUAUGAAUAAGCAUCGGCUAACUCCG